UACGAGGGGGGCAAAUGUUGUUCGGAAUCACUGGGCGUAAAGGGAGCGUAGGCGGGCUUCUAAGUUAGGUGUUUAAUCCCGGGGCCCAACCCCGGUCGUGCACUUAAAACUGGAAGUCUUGAAUAGUGGAGAGGUCAGUGGAAUGGGUGGUGCGGUGGAAUGCGUAGAGAUCCCCAAGAACACCAGUUGCGAAGGCGGCUGACUGGACACAUAUUGACGCUGAGGCUCGAAAGCAUGGGGAGCAAACAGG
rnacentral:rRNA from 1 species